GUGAGCACUCAGAGGCUGUAAAGCUGAACAAGAGAAAAUCUCCCCCUCAUGUCACCGCUCUGAAGAGACAGAGUCAGCCACAGCGGCGGCGGCGAGGGUGGGAAAGGGGCACUUCAGCCAUGGAGAGAACAUCGUUCUUAACGGCACUUCUUUGCCUUUGCUCGGUUUCUAAGGACCUUGCUGCCCUGGAUGUAUAUCAGACCCCGCUCUGCGUCUCUGCGGCUGUGGGGACGGAGCCCAGUAUGGAGUGCAGUUUCCCUCCCAUGGAGGCAAGUGAAAUAUUUUUUAUCUCAUGGUACAAAGAGGGGGAGACACUAAACUUAUCAGACAACCGCCUCCUACGGUCUGUAAACCUCACAGCAGGGUCUGGUACUCUCAGGAUAUCCCAUGUGCAGGCUCAGGAUGCUGGAGUCUAUACCUGUGAGAUGGGGAACAGGACCCACAGCUCUACCGGGAAUGGCACAAAACUGGAAGUCCACGUGGUAACAUCUGUAGGCAUUAAUAUUCUGCUUCUCAGAAACGUCGCUGGAGGGCAGCUCUUGUUGACUCUAGUGCUUGCGGUCGUCAUCGUCCAUUUCAUGUCAGGUCUCACUGGAUACUCAGAAUAACCCGGCCUGCUGGAAGCAUCAGGACAGCAAAAGGAACGAACUCUUUGCUCUGCUUCACCCAAAAUCAGCAGUGCCCUAGACAGUAUUGACCUGCCAAUCUUGUCCCACUAAUGAGAAAGGAAAACCCAACCUUCCCUUCCCCUCCCCCUCCAGAGCACCUGGUCACCAGCAGCUCCUGGCUAUUCACCAGCAGGUGUCUCUCCUAGACUACAGCUACAACGUCAUUUUCCCUGAGAAGACACCACCAGGUUCAUUAGUUGGAAGCCAAUUCCCAGCUGCCUCAGAAACUCACACUCCUACUGAAGCUUAAGUAGCUCCCAGCUCCUCCUGGCAUCCAGUCUGCAACCUGCGCCGAAAUCCACAGGAUCCCCCCUAUGGAGCCAUACCAGGGACACCAUGGUUACCCCUGUUACUCCUCCCAAAAUGUUCUGAUUUUUCCAAAAGCUCUUUCCAGCUAGCUGGAUUCCCGGGCAGUAAAUAACUGUCAGUAACACAGAGAGCAUCACUAUUCCCUGCGCCCAGUCUGUGACCAGCGCUGAGCAGAACGAGCAAUGGGUAGCAUUGCACGUAGGCUUCCUACCCUAUGUCUCGAUCUUUCCCCUUUCCACAUUCAAUUUGGUUUUAAAUGGCUCAGCCUUGCACACAGUCUCUGGAUAAAUAGGAUUCCAGGACAGCGAUGAUGGGGAAACUGACAUUAGCUGAGACAAAAAGCAGGAGGGAAGAGUUAUAUUGGGCCUCAUUAUCUUUUGGAGCAGGAGUGGAAGGGCUGGUCCCAGCCAGCACUUCUCUGGGCCCCUCACACCAAAUUCCCUGUGAAUAUGAGUCCUGUCAUGCAAUAGAAAAUGAUGAUUAUUAACACAGAAGGGUCUAUCAACCAGCGUGUGUGUU